GAGUUUGAUCGUGGCUCAGGAUGAACGCUGGCGGCGUGCUUAACACAUGCAAGUCGAACGGAGCGCCGGACACGGACUAUUUCGGUAGGAAGCGUGCGGAGGCUUAGUGGCGGACGGGUGAGUAACGCGUGGAUAACCUGCCGCAUACCGGGGGAUAACAGCUGGAAACAGCUGCUAAUACCGCAUAUGCCCGCAGUGCUGCAUGGCACAGCGGGGAAAAACUCCGGUGGUAUGCGAUGGGUCCGCGUCUGAUUAGGCAGUUGGCGGGGUAACGGCCCACCAAACCGACGAUCAGUAGCCGGCCUGAGAGGGCGGACGGCCACACUGGGACUGAGACGACGGCCAGACUCCUGCGGGAGGCAGCAGGUGGGGAAUAUUGCACAAGUACGGGGAAACCCUGAUGCAGCGACGCCGCGU
rnacentral:rRNA from 1 species